rnacentral:rRNA from 1 species
AUGUCGUACAACAAGACCGCCUCCAUCACCGCCGAGACCAUAAACCCCAAGGUGAAGAUCUUCGACUACGAGCCCUGCGGGGAGAUCGCCAGGCACGCAGAGCGGUUGGAGCAGGAGAUGGAGAAGAGCCCCGGUUCUCGCCCUUUCCCAGAGAUAACAUACUGCAACCUUGGGAACCCCCAGGCUCUCGGCCAGCGACCCAUAACCUUCUUCCGUGAGGUUCUUUCCCUGUGCGACAAUCCAGCUCUCCUGCGCAGGGAUGAAACUCGUAUGCUAUUCAGCCCAUGUGCCAUAAAUAGAGCGCGGAAGAUUAUUGAGUCCAUGCCUGGCAGAAACUCCGGUGCAUAUACUAACAGUCAGGGAAUCAGAAGUUUGCGCGAAGCAGUCGCAAGUGGAAUCGCUGCAAGAGAUGGUUUUCCAUCAAGACCAGAAGACAUCUUUCUGACAGAUGGAGCGAGUUCAGCCAUUAAUUUGAGUAUGCAGAUACUCAUUAGGUCCCAAGAAGAUGGCGUUUUAUGCCCUUUACCUGAAUAUCCGUUAUACUCGGCGUCCAUUAUACUUCAUGGUGGGACUAUGGUGCCAUACAAUCUUAGUGAGGACGGUGAUUGGGGGCUUGAGAUCUUCGAAGUAAAGAGGUGCUUGGAGGAGGCACGCAUCGCAGGUUUGACUGUUCGGGCUAUGGUGAUCAUAAACCCCGGAAAUCCGACGGGACAGGUACUGUCUAUCACCAACCAGGAGGAGAUAGUAGAAUUUUGUCGGAAAGAAGGUUUGGUUAUGCUUGCCGAUGAGGUAUACCAAGAUAACGUCUAUGUGGAGGAUAGGAAAUUUCAUUCUUUCAAGAAAGUAGCCAGAUCACUUGGGUAUGACGAGAAUGACAUCUCCAUAGUGUCAUUUCACUCAGUCUCAAUGGGGUUCUCUGGAGAAUGUGGCAGAAGGGGAGGCUACAUGGAGAUAUGUGGUUUUGGAGAUGAUGUGAUGGGUGAGAUUCGCAAAGUGGCUUCCGUGACUCUUUGCCCCAACAUAGGUGGUCAAAUUCUUACUAGCCUUGCUAUGGAUCCACCGAAGCUGGGAGAUGGUUGUUUUGAGAAUUUUAUGGCUGAAAAGGAAGACAUCCGUUUAUCUCUCGCCAAGCGCGCCAAGACCUUGUCGAGCGCAUUCAGCAGCCUGGAGGGAAUGACCUGCAACAAAGUAGAAGGUGCAAUCUACGCCUUCCCACGGAUCCACCUCCCUGCAGCGGCGAUCAAAGCCGCCAAGGCCGAGGGCGUGUCCCCAGACAUGUUCUACGCGUGCCGCCUUCUCGACGCCACCGGGAUCGCCGUCGUCCCUGGCUCUGGAUUCCACCAGGUGUCUGGGCGCAACAAGGCCACCGGGACAUGUCAUAUCCGGUGCACGAUCCUCCCGGGCGAGGAGAAGAUCAAGGAGAUGAUCCCGCGCCUCAAGGAGUUCCACGAGUCCUUCAUGAACGAGUUCCGCGACCGAAGCUGA